rnacentral:rRNA from 1 species
UACGAAGGGGGCUAGCGUUGCUCGGAAUGACUGGGCGUAAAGGGCGCGUAAGCGGCAUAUCCAGUUAGGCGUGAAAUUCCUGGGCUCAACCUGGGGACUGCGCUUAAUACAGGUAGGCUAGAGUGUGAAAGAGGGUCGUGGAAUUUCCAGUGUAGAGGUGAAAAUUCGUAGAUAUUGGAAAGAACACCGGGUGGCGAAGGCGGCGACCUGGUUCAUUACUGACGCUGAGGCGCGACAGCGUGGGGAGCAAACAGG